rnacentral:miRNA from 1 species
GUAGAGGAGGCCCGUGUUCAGCACUAGGCAGUAUAUACUUAGCUGGUAUUAUUGUUAUAUCGCAGCGUAAUAAGCUGGCAUGCUUAUUACGGGGGUAGUCACCCUAGUAACGUUACUACGCCGCUUGUCGGCAGCGUAGCGACUGCCGCCCACGCCUCGUCCCGCACGUACGCCGCGUCUCGGUGCUUACAAUCACAGACGCAAACAAACUUUACUCUGUACUUGUCCGUUCGAUGUGAUGUUACUGAGCCGUGUGUAUUGUCGUCGUGUCUACACCGCGCUGUAUGGUGAACUUCAGUCAGCUCGCCAAAUUGACGCUACUUACAUUUCGAGCAGCCCGCGCCGCCGGGGCUCUCGGCGCCGGAGCCGCAGUACUUCCCGUUCCCCAAGUACAGCGAGCCGUACGCGUUCAAGCGCGAGGACGUGCCGUACGACAUGAGCCAGCAGCAUGCGCACGCGCACGCGCACCAGCAACACCACCAACAGCACCAAUACGCGCUGCCGCACCAGCAGAAGCGAGACGAAGACAUCUACAAUGGCAUCAAGCGCGAGUGCGAAGACCCGUACUCGUUCGCGGAGGAGGAGGCGGCGAUGUGCGCGAUGCUGCAGCAGCCCGCGCCGCACGCGCUGCUGCACGAGCACCACCUCAUGCACCCGCAGCAGAUGCUGCUCAACCAGCCCAAGAAGCGCGGCCGCAAGAAGAAGAUCAAGGACGAGAACGGUAUGGAGAUAAAGACGGAGGGCAUGGAGGGCGCGCUGGUGCCGCGGCCGGUGAAGGAGCGCAAGAAGCACGACCGGUUCAACGGCAUGAGCGAGGAGGAGGUGUCGCGCCGCACGCUGCCCGACCACCUCGCCGAGAACCUCGACAUCAUCAUUAUCGGCAUAAACCCGGGUCUGUUCGCGGCGUACAAGGGGCACCACUACGCGGGCCCCGGCAACCACUUCUGGAAGUGUCUCUACCUGUCCGGACUCACCAGGGAGCAGAUGAGCGCCGAUGAAGACUACAAGCUGUUGAACUUCGGCAUCGGUUUCACGAACAUGGUGCCGCGGCCGACCAAGGGCUCGGCGGACCUGACGCGGCGCGAGAUCAAGGAGGGCUCCGCGGUGCUGCUGGAGAAGCUGCAGACCUUCCGGCCCAAGGUGGCCGUCUUCAACGGGAAGCUCAUCUACGAGGUGUUCUCCGGCAAGAAGGACUUCUGCUUCGGGAAACAACCGGACACCGUCGCCGGCACCAACACUUACAUGUGGGUGAUGCCGUCGUCGUCGGCGCGCUGCGCGCAGCUGCCGCGCGCGGCGGACAAGGUGCCGUUCUACGCCGCGCUGAAGAAGUUCCGCGACUACCUCAACGGACUCGUCGCGCACGUCGACGAGGCCGAGCUCGUGUUCCCCGACAACACCAGCCGCCGCCCGCAGGAGGAGAUGGAGAUCCGCAGGCUCACAAUGGAGCCGGAACCAGGCGACACGAUCAUCCUGGAGGACGGCACUGAGGUGCCGCUUAAGAAGAAGCGAGGCCGACCCAAGAAGGUGAAGCUGGAGAACGGCGAGACCGCGCCGCCCACCCCCCGCGCCCCGCGCCAGCCGCGACCCCCGCCCACGCUCGACCCCAACGGAGACCAGCCACCCAAGAAGAAGCGUGGUAGACCCAAGAAAAUACGCCCCGAAGAACAACAGUUCCUCAUGCAACAACAACAACAGCAACAGCAACAACAGUCGAACCCCAUGCUGCAGUCGUCGCUGUCGUCGCUGUCGUCGCUGCCGCACGAGCAGGGCUACCUGGCGCCGCACGCGGGCGAGUUCCCGCAGCAGCUCGGCUCGCUGCCGUCGCUGCCGUCGCCGCUGGCGCAGGGCUCGCUGCUGUACUCGCACGCGCACCCCGCGCACCCGGCGCACGCGCACCAGGCCAUGCCCGACGGCGCCGGCUACUUCCAGCCGCAGCCGCAGGCCCAGCCCGCCGGCGGAGACGGCACACCAUGCGACAUGUCCGGCAUGGACUCGCCACUGGACGUGUCGCCCGCCGGCCGCGCCUUCAGCGCGCGCUCGCCCAUGUACGCGCACAGCCCCGCGCACCAACCCUACCACCAUCCGCACCAGCAAUCGAGUCCUGCUCAGCAACCUCGAUUCUCGCAGUCGCCUCAUCCGCACCAUCCACUACCCUACGCACGCUCGCCCGCACCACAGACGCAGUCACGGCCGUACUCGCGGUCUCCGGUGCCGUCGGGCGCGGGGGUGGUGGGCGUGGGAGUGGGGGUGGGAGGCAACACCACGCCGUUCCCGGCCGCGUCGCCCGCAGGCGGCGGCUACACGCCCUCGCCCGCGCACACUCCCUACAGCCACCGCUCCUCGCCUGCGCCCUCCUCACGCACUCCCACAUACACAGACGCGCAUCACUUCCCACAUCAGAGCGGCAGCGGCGGCAGCGCGUUCGGCGGCGAGCUGGGCAGCGAGAUCGGCGCGGCCAUCUCGUCGCCGGGCCCGGUGUCGCCCGGCAUGGCGGCGCUGGACUUCGAGCCGCCGCGCGACCCCGAGCGCGCCGCCAGCCCCGCCAGCGCCGACCUGCACCCCGCCUCCAACUCCGACUCCUCGCUCUCCGACUACAACAAGACGUCGGUGGGCGGCGAGAUGUCGCCGGCGGGCGUGGGCGCGGGCUCGUUCGGCGCGCUGUACGAGGGCGAGCCGCGCCUGCAGUACCCGCACGCGCCGCACGCGCUGCACGCGCAUGCGCACUCGCCCGCCGCGCAGGACAAGGACCACUACCACUACCGGCAGGACCAGGGGAGCGGUGUAUCCGAGAGCCCAAGAUUAGACCAGAUGCACCAGCAUCAAUCCAUGUAUCCCAACAACUUCAACCGGUCGACGCCGCCGGGUCCAGUGGCGGAGGGUCCGUUCUCACCGCUGCCUGCCGCGUUCCGCCCGCCCGAACACCCGCACACGCCACACACGCCGCAUACACCACACACACCGCACACGCCGCUACAUCACCAGCCCGGUUCUCCGGGUGACUACAGCGGCACAGUGAAACCGAAGUCGCAAGACGUCGCGUCCAAGUCCCUGUCGGGUCUGGAAUCGCUCGUGGACCAGAUCCCGUCGAUAGCGGAGGGUCCGGGCGGCGCGGCGGGCGUGGCGGGCGGAGUGGGCGGCGUGGGGGGAGUGGCGGGGGUCGGCGGCGUGGGGGGCGUGGGCGGCGUGAGUGCGGGCGCGACCGAGCAGCCCGCGCCGGCGCCCGUGCCCGCGCUGCCCGAGUACGCGCCCGCGCUCUACGGGCCCUACGGCGCGUACGGCGGCGCCGCCUACGGGAACAACGGGUACGGCGGUCCGUUCGUGGGGUACGGCGGCGGCUGGGGCGCGACGGUGAUGCGGCCGGCGCCGGGCUACCUGCCCGAGUGGCAGUACGGGUACGGCGCGGGGGUGCCGCCCGCCUACGCGCCCUACAACGCGCCCUACUACAACGGGUACGCGCCGCCGCCUGCCCAUCACCAGCAGGUACCCUAGCCAGAACCAUCGCGUCAGUAAGGUCUGAGUGCGCCCUUUAUUAUGCAACUACAGUCGACGCCACUCUUUAUCACCGUCUUGAAAUGAGUCACUUUAACACCAUUUAUAAAUUAUAAUUAUAUCUGCAACGCCACUCCUGACUAACUUCAGAACGGCUGUAAAGAUUGGUGCCAGCUUAGAUUUUGUUUAAAAUCGUAAAUGUGCUUUAUCAAAAGAGCAAUUUAUUUACAUGGUGUAUGUGUGUCACCAUUUAAUUGUGUAGAGUACAAUUUGUUAUUAUUUUUUAAAUUCUCGUUGGCAGUCUGCGUUGAUUCUGAUGGCAAGUUGCAUGCAGUAGUUGUAGUGAAGUGUUGUUUGAGACGCGCGGUGCAGUGAGCGGUGGGUGUUGCAGGCGCACUACCUGUCGGCGCCGCCGCUGAUCGACCUGCACAAGAACGGCGAGCACGCGGGCGGCGUGCCGGCCGUGCCCUCCGUGCCCUCCGUGCCGUCCGUCGGCUUCGGCGGCUUCUGUUAGUGCACUCACGCGACCACACUGUACAUACCACACGCGGACUUUUUAUCUGUCGUUUUAACGAGUGUGAAGGGUGUGUUUGUGCGCGUGAGCGGCGGCGGUGAGCGGCGGCGGCGAGCGGGCGCGGGUACCGACGUAUUCGGAGAGUCUGUGAUCCUCGUCAUGUCUAACUAACUAAUGGCCAUUGUUAUUGCCAUACGGAAAAAAUGUGUUCGGAAACGUUCGAUAUGGAGUGGCGCACGCGCAGUGCUGUCGGUCGCGGUUGUGUCCGGAGUGACAGCGGUGGCGGUACAUAGAGGCCAUAUUAUGAGACGAUACGAAAUGGGAUUUUCUACUGUCUGUAUGUUGUAACAAUCUAUGUUUCUACGUUUGUAAUAUGAGGCUUAUUAUGUGGCGAAACCGCUACAAAACCCAAGCUGUACAAGCUAACACGAUUGUGAUCUCAUUGGUAUAUAAGAAUGUGACAUUAAUGAUCUUUGUUUAAGUUAAUUAUGAAUUAAAAUAUCUUUUCGCUGUGAUAUUGAGAACUUGGUAUUGGUUUAGUACAGGCGGUAAUUGUUAAACUAACGCGUGGGUCGUGUUAGCUUGCCGGCUGAGAUGGACUUGUUUAGUCGAUGCUGCUUUCCAGUACACAGUUUUUGUGAAUAUGUCCAUAAAUGUGUAAAUUUUACAUAUGACACAGUUAUCGUGGUAUUUGCAGCUCGCUGUGUACUCGCGAGCAGUCUCGAUGUUCGCGCGAGGGACCGACGCUCGUGGGCGGUGCACACUCGUGGCAGAAUCCUUAACAUUUAUUCGUUAUUCAUUUGGGAUUCAGCCAGAAAUUGUUAUACGAAGUCUUGCCAAUGAUGUGUUUCGCUCUAGUCACUUAUUAAUUCGUGUCGGCUAGUCAAAAUGAUAACGUACCCUGCGCCGCACCUCGCCCCCGACACUUGUCGCGCCGAUAUUAUAUAUUAUAUAGAAAAAAAUAUUAUUUUUUGUAUCUAAGUCACAAGAACGGCCUACGAAAGGAAUAACGUAUACUUUUUAUUUUUUAGAAUUUAGUUUGUAAUGUUUUGUGACACUAUUUAUAAUUAGCAUUUUGUAUUCUACUGUCGCAACGAGGCGGCCAUUUUGUCGGCGCGGUCAAUGACUGUCUGUGGUGCGCGGAUAUAAACUUGUGGAUCAUUUUUUAAUGAAUAUUUUAUGAGGUAUUGUAUUUUCCAUGUUACCAACAAUGGUUACUUUUUUUUAUAAAAAAAUAUAUUUUUAAAUCUUUUUAAAAUCCUAUUGUGUUGUUACCAACCGAAAAGAAAUGUGUAAAGGUUUUUUGGCCUUACCUGUAUAAUGAAUUGUAUAAUUAUCCCGUCGAGCACCGCAGAAGGAAGUCAGUGGGCGCGCCAUUGCCAUGGACACCGUGCAUUUUACUAAACGUUACCCGAUCAGUUACAUUAGCUUGGAGUCGCUAGUGAAAUAGCAUAAUUUUACAAUAAUUAUUGAUAACCUAUAUUUUUAUUAUACGCGCCAUUUUAUUAUAAGGCCAUUGACGUGAGAAUAAAUAAUAAUUUAAAACUUGUCGGAAUGCGUCCAGUCUUACAGAAUAUUGUGUUAAAUUGUAAACUGAAAUAGCACAGAUUGCAUUUACUUAUUUUUAUUUUAUUUUGACGUUUUGCUUACACAUUUACACUAUUUGCAAAUCCAAAAACAUUACCACUACGUAUGUUUUGAAUAAUUUGAUUUAUUUAUUAAGUAAAUAUAGCUUUAUAAUCAAAAAAGUACUACGCAGUUAUUUAAAGCUUUAAAAUAUUUUGAUUUAGCCUGAAAACUAAUCAAGGACAUCGCGUAAUUGUGUAGUGAGCGUCGCACGAAAGUUAAUAUUUAUUCUCACGGCACUUCUUGUACCGACUGGUAACAACCUCUAGGUUUAGUUGAACGGUUACGAAGCAUAAUGUUUACAUAGGGUGCUGAUUAGUUGAAUUGUUUCCUCGUUUUUUAUACGAAUGUCGCUCUACAAUAAGUAGUGUUUAGAGUCCUGUAUUACGUGUCGAUGUUGAAAUGUGUACGAGGUGCUAGAUAAGAGUCAUUGAUGACCGGUUAUACUGAUGUUUGAAUAUUUACUGAAGGGGCGACUAAUGUAGAGGUCUAAGAUAUGACAGCUAUACAUUAGCUAACAUUAAAGAAAAUAGUCCUAAUUUUGCACAACUAAUUAUUGUGUUGUUCCUGUAAGGAACUAACAUAACGCUGACAUGAUGUACAUUUCAUAUUACAAAACAUUCGAGCCACGUGACUGGCGCCUUGUACCAUUGAUGCGUUGUAUGUCGUACAAUACGGGAGUUUAUGUUUCAUUAUUAAGUCUUUAGUGUGUUGUUGAUGUUUUAUUUUCCACUUUUUGACGAUAUUUUUAGGUAUUGGGUCGUGUACAGAUAGAUAAAGUAAGGGUCGAUUCACACAAGAGCCAACACGUGCAACGAAUGAGCGUGGCAUCCGUGGGAAGCGCGAUUCGAAUUGCAAUCGAUCGCUUUGUGUCCUCGUUCGUGAAGUACAAUUAUUAUUAUAAGAACGCUCCAAGGCUGUUUUCGAGGCAUUUGUAUCUUUAACUCGUAUUAUUGUAUAGGAUAACUACAGGACUUGGAGAGAAGUUCGACAAUAAAGAUCUCUACAAAGUGGACAUUAGGGUUUUAAAUAUAUACAUUUAUUGCACACGUAGCUCGCCACUGUAAAUUCGUUUCAGGUGUUCGCUUUUUGACAAUCGACAAAUAAGUCCUUCCGCAUACUAUAAUAUAAAACUGUCGGUGUGUAGGCGAUCCGCCUAGUGUAUAAAUAGUGGGUCACAUCUGGAAAGUGAAAAUUCUCUUGUACAAAACAUUUUAUUAAAUUUUUUCUUUGCACAAAAGUCUUAAAAUUAAGCUAAAAACGAAAAUAACAUACGUAAUAAAGACAUAUACUUUUAAUGGUAGGUAUACACGAAUGAAUUUAUACGGUAGUGAAAAGGACGCGUCGGUCACCGGAGAGUUGGUAGGGUCGGUCGGAUUGUGCUCAAUGCUUGAGUUGUGUUCUGUCUCGCCUUCAAAUAGUGCAGCGGUCUCUGGUCUGAGUCUGUGCCACAAGCCACGUGUCGGGUGUGGUAUCAUACGCGCAUCUCUCGAUCUCGCUUCCAUCUACUGCCUACUAUUUAUACUGUACAAUGUACAUCUCGCUGCACUAUUUAAACGCAUACUUAAUUAUUUUUUUCGUAAUGCAGAAGGGGAAAAUUUAUAAGUUUAAAAAUGAAAUCAACAGGGUAUUUAAGAUUGCUUAAGAUUUAUUAUUUUAUAUUUAUUAUUAUUUAAUAAUGCGUGCUUGCUUAGCGCUGUUUUGUUUGGAUUAAGGUUAUUCUGUCGCGCGCCUGUCGUGCGUACAUCGCGCGUUGCGUGUGCGUGUCGUCGGCGGCACGUGGCUAUCGCGCGAUUCUGCCCUUGUAUUUACUUUUUGUUUAUGUUUGACAGCUGCACGGAAACACACGACUUGAAUAUAUUGACAUUUAUAAAAUACUUGGAACAUAGGGUCUAAAUUUGAAUCUCAAUUACACUUAAGCAUUUAAUUAUGUCAAUCAUAAUAAAAUUUAUUGUAUUAAUGGUUCGUACAACUUUGAAGUUGGUGAUGACAUUUCAGUAGAACGAAACAAGCGUUUGUGUGAUUCAGACGUGUUUAUGCAAUGCCAAGUGUUACAUAUUUGACGCUAAAAACAUAUUGCUUCAGUAUGGGCUCAAAGGUAUUUGUAAUUGGUGUAUUUUAAUAUCCGUCAUAUUUUAACUAGAGUUGUGUGGGUGUCGUGCAGCGGUCGGUCGCAGUAACGCCUUUGUACAUAAUGAGUGCUUUAUUACGCUUUUUUAUAUUAUUUAACAAAGUACAUAUUCGUAUUUCUAUUUUUGCUUUAUAUGUUCAUUUCACACGCGGUAUGUGUGGACGGGAUUCUCUUUGGUUACGUGUGUAAUAAGAGUAACAGUAGGUCGAUACCUCGCACAGUGAUAAUUUAUUGUUGGAGCGGAAAUGUUUUUCUUCCGAAAAAUUUCGCCAAACUUUGCCUACUGUUAAUCUUUAUUACACUAUGUUGGGUAAGUUGCGUCGUGGCGGUCGUUGAUAUUGAGAAAAUUACUUUUAACAUUUCGGGACGCUCUGUACUAUACGUUGUGUCUUCUCUUAAGCUCGACCAAGUAAUCUUAAUUCUUCUAGCAGUUUGCGUGUUCAUAAAAGACAACAAACAGUGCUACAAUUUUGAAAAAUGGUUACAAUUAAUCCGAUCCGUAAUACUUUAUAUAAUUUUAGUUACAUCUGCAUCAGUCAAUUGCCACGACGCAUCAACCGCGAACGAUUGAAGGCCUAUCAAACACACGCCACUGUUGUAACCGGGUGCUAGAGCUGUCGUCACAUCACGCGGCGGGAGGCGGCCUUAAAUGUGACCCAAUCUACCGACAGAACGGGGCAAGGGAAUUUAAACUUAAUUAUUUUGAAUUCUAAUAACUUUACAAUUCGUAUUUCAUUAGUAUCAUUUGACAUUUCAUUUAAGAUGAUAUCAAUGGAAAAUUUAUUCUAUAUUUAUUGUUUUAAAAUUAAAAGUAAUGCGACUUUUAAAUCCUAUGCCAUACUGUGCUGCCGAUAAAUUUCGGGAUUAUCAACUGCCUAUCCUCUGUGAUAUUUAUGUGACUGUCCGUGUGACAACCAGUGAGACUGCCAGCUCCCGGCGCGUGAGCAGCUUGCUUCUUUGUAACUUGUGGUUUAUGUGUAGACGGUAGACAAAAACAUUCCAUUGUCUGUGCUAUGGUCUUUACAGACCUCCGACUUGUCUUAACAAGUGCAAAAAAAUCCUUUCCCGUUCCUCCACUUCUGAAAAGAGUGCUGUCUCAUAGCAAAAUACAGUUAGGAGUAUGAUAAACUAAUAGAAUAGCACAAAAUUCACAUGUGUUCCACGCUGGGCUAUGACCAUCAAUGCAGUGGAUCUUGCGUUGUGGUCAAUUCCAUUGGUAAGUCAUUUUUCUAGGCCUGUGCGCUCUGGUACGUAAGUGCCCUAUCUCGACAAAGUAAGUAAUUACUUAAGAAGACACCUUAAAUGUUUGUCGAUGAAUUAUAAGCCGUACUUUAAACGAACUGUAUAUUUAAAUGAAGCGCGUCAAAGUAGUGUUUUUGUGUCGCAGUCUACACGUGCGUUAGUUGUAUUUCAAGUUUCCUUAUCGAAUAGGUUUUUUGGCGAAUUCCUUUACGCAACGGAGUGCAAUGUCGGGAGAUUAGUGUUUUGUCUCGUGUCUGAUUGUUGUAUUAUUGUAUUUUUAAUAUUAUUGAGUUGCGAGUUGUGUCACAAUGAACGCUGUAGAUGGUUGGUGAUAUACCACAGAGCCUGUUCAACUAUAAGUGGUGUUCGCCGCUGGGGGGUGCGACGAGACGGACGUGCAUGUCUUGUACAAAUAUUCGACGAAUUAUAGCAUUAGUCAAAGAUAUUUGUACACCCAGAUCAGCUGCGAAUAUCGCGUGUAGAUCGAACGUGAUUUGAUGCUGACGUUUAGUGACAAUAUCGUAUCCUCAGGCAAAGAACGCAAGUCUUAUUAAUACUUUCAUUGUUAGCCUGAAGACAUGAAAUAUUUGUUAAUUUAUUUCGGUAAACAAUUUUGGAGGCAUUUAAUAAAAAUUCACAGACCAUCUGUAACGUUUAUUUUGUGAUCCUCUCGCACCGGACCGUUUGGCAUAAACGAGUGACUUUCGACUUUCCUAUCAGGUGCAUAAAGUUUAGGAUUGUAUGAUAUUAGCAGCGAGUGGAGUCAGGACGUGCUGGACUAACUUUUAGAUUUUAGUGCGCGAGGUUAGGACGUAAAUUCGGUGGUGUUGCCGCGUUGUAUUUGUGCUUCUAUUGUAAAUUCGGUUUGUUGUCUAUACAUACAUGCUAAGAACAUAACGUAUUGUGAAACGUCUGUUGUAUAUCUAUAUUUACAUUUUGUUAUUCAAUAAUAGAAUAAAAAUAAUGGUUUGCUAUUUUUAAACAUUUUACGAAACGUUUUAAUAUGGCGACCGAAUUUACGCUCAAAUACAUACGCGUUCUUAAUAAUAAGUCUCUAUCAACGAGUUAGUGUUAGUGUGUACACGUGUUGUUCGCGGACGAGGCGCGGGCGCGGGCGCGGGCGCGGGGAGCGGACGCGGCUCGGCGGCGCGCGCGCCUCGCCGGCGCCUUUAUCUCCUUACAUGUCGCUGCUCGCGUGCGAGUGGACUUCACACGACUCGUUCGCAAUAUAGUGGCUUGGAACUCUUUCUCCUUCAUGGCAGUCGGUAAAAUCACAUAAAUAAAAACUAUCAUUCAUAAUAUGAAUUACUUAAUUAGGCUUCUUUUAAAUAAAAUACAAACAUUACCUAUAUUCUUAUCAAUUGUAGAGUUGUAAGCCACGUUACUGGGAACAUUUUAAAAACACAUUGUACUUAAGGUUGUAAGCGUGUGCAGUCCACCAGCAAGCGAUCAGCUUUUAGUUAUGGGCGGCUUAGACUGUCAGUUUUGACUGCAUAAGUUAAUUAAGAAUUACAAUAGGUCUAUGCCAGUUAUAUUAAAUCUCCAGUGUAUUAAUUUCAGUAAUAAUGAAUGAAUUAUUAAACCUAUUGAUUAUAACACGGUCUAAAAUAACGAAGCAAACUGAUGUCAGUCAAGGCUGGCGGUGUAGCGCGUCUCUUAGGGUUGACCAGUGUAUGCAUUGAGUCGCUCAACUAUUUGUACAGUAUGUAUAUUUUUGUAAAAUUCACUUUUAACUUGCGGUGGCAAUAUUAUGAAAUUUUAAAAUUUAUCUAUAAUAUUAAAACUUAGUACAAUUGUUACGCAGUUACUUUGACCACUGGGGUUUUGUUUUGUAUAAUCUGUCGUUAUAAACUUGUGAGUACAGAAACUAAGGCUAAACUUAAAUCCUCAUGAAAUGUUAAACCUGUCUACGAUUAAUUGUUUCUAUGAAUAAAUCAAUGUUAAAAUGACUGCCUUUAUUACAAUCUGAAUACAAGUUAGUUUGGUGAUAUUGAUGUUAAUACAUAGUUGCACGACUCACAAGCUCGCACUGAUGUCGAACACAGGAGCAGACCGUAUGCGGACGUCCUUAUCUGCAGUUCCAAACAUUGUUGCCUGCGAGUAUCAUCAAACCUUUUGAACAUUAUCACUAAUUAAUAUAAAGCUUCAUUUGGACUGUAAAAAUAGAAUACAAAUGCUUAUCCAAAAAUGGUUUGGGACUGAGAUGAGGAGCGCCAAUACAAGCUGCUCGUUAGAGUUUUACGAUAACGCGCCUUCGCGCACUGCUUGGUUGUGAAUUAGUGUCGCUUACGGUUCCCUACUCCGUCUGCUGUCCGCUGCGAAGUAUUCGCUUAACCAGUAUUGUCGUGCCAAAAAUGUAUGCGCCUCGAUUCCUGCACCCUCUACGCGUCCAGGUUCGGUCCCGCACCUGACUAUACCGGGUCGGGGUAAGAACCAUAGCUGACGCUUCUGAGUGCGGGAAUAGAGGACCGGAGCUUUGAAGCAAUAACGUAUCAACUUAGUCUCAAAUCGAAAGCAAUAAUGACUGGGCCGCGAAGCUGCAGUUUAUUUUACAAAAUUCACCCUCUAUUCGAAUAUAAGGAAUCAUUUUUCAUUGCCAAAAUUGUACUUUUUCAGAUUCUUGUGAUAGCAUUUAGUGCAAACAUGUGUAUCUUUCCGCCAGGUCUAAUAAUACCUGUGCAGGAAUUUAGAUUAUGUAACCAAUGUCCAUUAUAGAACAUUGCAUCCAUAGUAAUACUGUAAUCCGAUCAUUUUGUUCGUCAUAUGUAUGCCUUUAUUAUGUUCAGAUGUUGUACUAUUGGAACCAAUUUUCAUAUUUAUUUCUAUGUUUUCAUCAACAUAAGAUGCGAAUAAAAAGUAUCGCCAAAAUAUCAAAAUUGUGUCCAUUACAGCAACGAUCAGGCGGAGUUAGAUCCUAGCUCAAUUUUAUUAAACAAUAAUUAUAUUAUUGUACUUGCUUGUUAUUUGUCGUUGGAACUGUAGUCAAUUCCCCUUGGCUGACUACACACAAUGUGUACAUCGAUUCCACACUCCCGCCGUUACGGGCAUCGAACUUUUAAGUUUAGCGUUGUGCAGUAUUCUAAAACAAUUCAAUUUACUAUAUACUUGCCAGUCAAUUGACAUAAAUGAACAUCUCAGCCAGGCAUAUGUUGUCUAGCUAUCUUAAGUGGGUCGGAAGCAUAAAGCGAGUGUGUGGAACCGACGUGGCAUCAAAUGUGUCGGCCCAAGUUUCAUUCCACAGCCUGCAUUACUCAAAUAACUCGCAUUUUCUUAACACGGUGCUUGUUUUUGUAUAUAACGGACGACGCGACGCGGCAUUGCUCUUCUUAUAUUGUCACUUUGAAUGUACUUAAUAAAAUUUAGUCAAGGAAUGAAAUUUUCCGUUGUUGGAGUGUUCAAGUUUUUAUAUAUACUUGUAUUAGUUUUGUGCUAGUUUCGUUGUUAGAUUUGACGACGUUGUGUACUUAAUCGUACGAUGCAGUACUUAGACGUUAUUGUAAUAUUAAAUGCUGUUGUAUGGCGGACACGCCCCAUAGUUUAAACUCGUGGCCGCUGCUCGUGCGGGCCACACGUUAUGUAUGAUACAAGUAUGUUGCAUAUGAUUUGAGAGUCUCAGUAGCGCGUUGAGUUGUCGAUCCCAAUGAAUAGUCAAUUAUUCGGGAGAGCGCCGCGUCCCGUCGCCGUCAGCUCGUUUAAAGUACAAUUUACCUUAUAAUCUCGUAUUAUUAUUAGUUGUAAUUGAUGUUUGUACACUACUGUCACUGUUGAGCGGUGGUGAGCGGUGGUGGGCGGUGGCGAGCCGCACGUCGCCGGAGCGCGGCCGGAGCGCGGCCGGCGCGCGUCCGAGCCGCGCUCCCGUUAUAUUGAUACAUACCUACGCUAGCAGUAAACACUCAUGUUUGUACAGUUUUUAACGAUAACACUACUUCUCGUAGGUGAAUAAGCAAGAAAUAUUUUUUAGUAUAAUAAGAUCUAAUCGAAUUACAUCAUAGUGUAACAUAAUAAAGUACUCGAGGUUAACGAAAUUUCAUUUUCAAACUUUCUACGGUCCUUCGUUUAAUGAUCGUAUCGGAAAUUGACUCAGUGGAGUGUAAUUAGAAAUAAACAGGAAAAUUUUAAAUGAUGAGAUACAACUUAAAUAAUGGAUAAGUAAUGUAUUAUAAAUAGUUUUAAGGUAAAAAGUUAUUAUUAACAUUGUAUGGAAAAUUGUGACAAAAUUAUAGUCAUUUGUAAUAUU